UAGAGUUUGAUCCUGGCUCAGAAUCAACGCUGGCGGCGUGCCUAACACAUGCAAGUCGAACGCGGUUGCCCCGCAAGGGGCAACUGAGUGGCAAACGGGUGAGUAAUACAUCGGAACGUGCCCUGUAGUGGGGGAUAACUAGUCGAAAGAUUAGCUAAUACCGCAUACGACCUGAGGGUGAAAGUGGGGGACCGCAAGGCCUCAUGCUAUAGGAGCGGCCGAUGUCUGAUUAGCUAGUUGGUGAGGUAAAGGCUCACCAAGGCGACGAUCAGUAGCUGGUCUGAGAGGACGAUCAGCCACACUGGGACUGCGACACGGCCCAGACUCCUACGGGAGGCAGCAGUGGGGAAUAUUGGGCAAUGGGCGCAAGCCUGACCCAGCCACGCCGCGUGAGUGAUGAAGGCCUUCGGGUCGUAAAGCUCUGUGGGGAGGGACGAAUAAGUCCAGUGCUAACAUCACCGGGCCCUGACGGUACCUCCUUAGCAAGCACCGGCUAACCAUGUGCCAGCAGCCCCGGUCAA
rnacentral:rRNA from 1 species